rnacentral:rRNA from 1 species
GACAGAGGGUGCAAACGUUGUUCGGAAUCACUGGGCAUAAAGCGCACGUAGGCGGUCCACUAAGUCAGGUGUGAAAGCCCCCCGGCUCAACCGGGGAACUGCACUUGAUACUGGCGGGCUCGAGGAUGAGAUGGGUAGGCGGAACUCCAGGUGGAGCGGUGAAAUGCGUAGAUAUCUGGAGGAACACCGGGUGGCGAAAGCGGCCUACUGGACCAUCACUGACGCUGAGGUGCGAAAGCUAGGGUAGCAAACGGG